AUUGAACGCUGGCGGCAGGCUUAACACAUGCAAGUCGAGCGAGCGGCGGACGGGUGAGUAAUGUCUGGGAAACUGACUGAUGGAGGGGGAUAACUACUGGAAACGGUAGCUAAUACCGCAUACCAUCAGAUGUGCCCAGAUGGGAUUAGCUAGUAGGUGGGGUAAUGGCUCACCUAGGCGACGAUCCCUAGCUGGUCUGAGAGGAUGACCAGCCACACGGGAACUGAGACACGGUGCAGACUCUUACGGGAGGCAGCAGUGGGGAAUAUGGAACAAUGGGCGCAAGCCUGAUGCAGCCAUGCCGCGUGUGGGAAGAAGGCCUUCGGGUUGUAAAGCACUUUCAGCGGGGAGGCGUUACGCGCAGAAGAAGCACCGGCUAACUCCGUGCCAGCAGCCGCGGUAAUAC
rnacentral:rRNA from 1 species